rnacentral:lncRNA from 1 species
GGAAGUCUCACCGCGCAGCAGCACCCCCAGCCCGGGCGGUUCCGGGGACCGAAGGGCGCGGCACGUAGGGGGCCCGUAGGAUCCAAACUGCGGAGGAGAAGCAGGAGGAGGGAGGAGGAAGAAGACAAAGGUGUGGAGGAGGAGGGGAGGGAGGAAGAAGGAAGAGAGGCAGAAGACUAGGAAAAAAUGGGCCCGUGGGCGCGGAGGGGGCGCGGCGGGGUAGAGAGGCGCGGACGCUGAGCGAGCCCGGUGCCUCUCGAAAGCCUCACCGGCCGCCCGGCCGGGCCGCGCAGCUCCGCCAACUCCCGGGCCGGCCCAAGCCGGAGCGUGGCGCCCGUCGGGAGGUUGCAGAGUUCCUGGAGCUCACAGCUGAGCCCGAAGGAAGUCGCCCUCGAUGGGCAGGAAGCGGGACCCAGGCACGCCCGCGCGGUCGCGUCCAGAUCUGCCGUCCUCCGACAGGCGCAGGCCUGCUGCGCCUUCGCCACACACCGCCACUCUGGGCCUGGACUCCGUAGUUACGCCGGGAUAUCUCUGGGCAUACAACCACCUCCCCUUCCCCACAGUCUUUUCAUCUCCACCCGACCCCUUGCUAGGAGCAGCUUCUAGUUGCAGCUCAAGACCCGCGAGUUCACCCUCCGCGCCAAGCACCCAACUCCCGGCUCUGCCUACAGUCACCCACAGACCUAAUGAUCGACUAAGCGCCGUAAUGGCCCGAGAUGACACCAGGAGACUCCCUUGCUGUGCGCCUCCGGAAGACGCGGAACGUAGCCCCUUUCUCACACUCCUGGGACACAAAAAUACCCGACAACUCAAAGUCGCCAAACCACAUCUUUUCAUGCUUUGAAGACUUCUGCCCAAGGCUGUGGCAGGAGUACCCUACAAGGUUUGCACAAAGCAAGAAAGCAUCAUGUAACCGAAAUGCUGAAAAGUAUAGAUGCUGCAAAACCUCAUUCUGAGACUGAGAACUAUGAAUAGUCAGUGUAUUUCCUUCUGCGGUGCAGAAAAAGAACAACCAAAAAGAAAGCAACAAGGGGAGAUGUUAUUUAUUUUAAUGACACCAAAACUACCAAUCCUAGCAAUUUAAUAAAUUAAAAUCAUAGUCCUUUAAAUGUA